rnacentral:rRNA from 1 species
UACGUAGGGGGGCAAGCGUUGUCCGGAUUCAUUGGGCGUAAAGAGCUCGUAGGCGGUUCGGCAAGUCGGGUGUGAAAACUCCAGGCUCAACCUGGAGACGCCACCCGAUACUGCUGUGACUUGAGUCCGGUAGGGGACCACGGAAUUCCUGGUGUAGCGGUGAAAUGCGGCAGAUAUCAGGAGGAACACCGGUGGCGAAGGCGGUGGUCUGGGCCGGCACUGACGCUGGAGGAGCGAAAGCGUGGGGAGCGAACAGG